AGGUCUUUAUGAAGCUUUGGAACUGAGGGACGGUGGAUCUGACUACUUGGGAAAGGGUGUUUCCAAGGUCUGGCAGCACCGCCGUGUCGACGACGAAGGUGGUGACCGCGGCAGCGAGCGGCGCGAGUUGGUGGCUGCGGGACUCGACGGCACGGCUCAUAUAUGCGCGAGCUGGGCAUUACUUUGAGUUCAUAUAUGUGCUUGUCACUCCAUAGGCCUUGGACAAGAUCAGUACGGUGCCGAUGGAGGCCCUCGCCGCCGGCGCCGAUGUGUCCAUGAUUGGGCAGUUUGGUGUUGGCUUCUACUCCGCCUACCUUGUUGCCGAGAGGGUCGUCGUCACCAUGAAGCACAACAACGACGGGCAGUACGUGUGGGAGUCCCAGGCCGGUAGCUCCUUCACCGUCACUCUUGAUACAUUUGGGGAGCAGCUCGGCAGGGGUACCAAGAUGGUCCUCUACCUUAAGGACGACUAGG